rnacentral:pre_miRNA from 1 species
AAAGUACUCCCUCCAUCCCAAAAUUCUUGUCUUAGAUUUGUCUAGAUACGGAUGUAUCAAGUCACAUUUUAGUAUUAGAUACAUCCGUAUAUAGACAAAUCUAAGACAAGAAAUUUGGGACAGAGGGAGUAGUUG